GAGGUGGAGGAGGCCCUUGGGCAGGCUGGGACUGGCCAGGACACCACAGGGUUGCUAGGUGACAGACAACAGCGUGCCGAGCAGCUCCGGGGUGCACUGUGCCUCCUCCCAGGGAGGUUCCUCUCCGUGCCCCCCGGCCAUCACAGCGCAGGCAGCUGAGCCCGGCUGCAUCCCGCUUGGGACGUUCACUCUGAAGCGUAAUGAGGACCUUGAGCCUUCUGGAGCAGAGCCCUGCAACCCGGGGCACCCCAUCCCUGUCCCCCCCCCAGCAGCGCAGUGCUGGGACAUAUGGCAGAGCCUGCAGUGCCUCUCCUGACACUGUCGAUGUCCGUGGGACAGCCGCUUUCUGUUGGACAAUUUCUUUUCCUGAGCAUGCCCUCAAGCUCUACGUAAG
ensembl:lncRNA